rnacentral:lncRNA from 1 species
UGAUUCUACACCCAAUAAUGUUAUUACUUGAACCCAUCUGUAAGGAACUGCUUCAAAAGUUCAUUUUUGUGUCUGUGGAUAACACAUCACAACAGGAAAGGAAAAAAUGCAUAGUAGCACACACAGUUUUUUUCUUUCCUGCUGAGUUUUGGGUUAGCUUUGUUUCAGUCUUUCUUGUCAUUUUAAAAUCCCCUUCCCAUUUUUUUUUCUCUUUUGGUUUUGAUUUCCAUUGGGUAUAUGGGUGCCCUGAUACUCCAGCAGAGGUCAGAAGGCUACAGAUCCAUCCUAUCCAUCUGUUACACGGCUUUGCCAUACAAGCUUGGAG